UGGCUGUUGACAGAAAGUGAUGCAACUGAGGAAGUCAAGUUAUAGAUGUUCAGUCACCAACAUGAGACUCCUGAGCUGGAGGCACUGUGAUGGUAUCACCCACUGUCUCUGAGCAUCAAAGGUUUCUGAGAUCACUUCAGAACCAUAAAGGAGAAAUGGGUGUUUUGUUAUUCAUAAGAAGCCUCUUCUGCCACAACUGGGUUUAUAUCAAUGAGUUCCAUUUUUCUUUCUCAGAAGGAACUGGGUUCUGAACCAUAUUUAAUGGUACACGGGCCUCUCACUGCUGUGGCCUCUCCCGUCGCGGAGCAC